rnacentral:rRNA from 1 species
AACGAACGCUGGCGGCAGGCCUAACACAUGCAAGUCGAACGCUCCGCAAGGGGAGUGGCGCACGGGUGAGUAACACGUGGGAACCUACCUUCUGGUACGGAACAACCAAGGGAAACUUUGGCUAAGACCGUAUACGACCUCCGGGUGAAAGAUUGAUCGCCGGAAGAGGGGCCCGCGUCCGAUUAGGUAGGUUGGUGGGGUGAUGGCCUACCAAGGCGACGACGGGUAGCCGGCCUGAGAGGGCGACCGGCCACACUGGGACUGAGACACGGCCCAGACUCCUACGGGAGGCAGCAGUGGGGAAUCUUGCGGCAAUGGGCGAAAGCCUGACGCAGCGACGCCGCGUGAGGGGAUGACGG